UGGGGAAUAUUGCACAAUGGGCGCAAGCCUGAUGCAGCCAUGCCGCGUGUAUGAAGAAGGCCUUCGGGUUGUAAAGUACUUUCAGCGGGGAGGAAGGGAGUAAAGUUAGUACCUUUGCUCAUUGACGUUACCCGCAGAAGAAGCACCGGCUAACUCCGUGCCAGCAGCCGCGGUAAUACGGAGGGUGCAAGCGUUAAUCGGAAUUACUGGGCGUAAAGCGCACGCAGGCGGUUUGUUAAGUCAGAUGUGAAAUCCCCGGGCUCAACCUGGGAACUGCAUCUGAUACUGGCAAGCUUGAGUCUCGUAGAGGGGGGUAGAAUUCCAGGUGUAGCGGUGAAAUGCGUAGAGAUCUGGAGGAAUACCGGUGGCGAAGGCGGCCCCCUGGACGAAGACUGACGCUCAGGUGCGAAAGCGUGGGGAGCAAACAGG
rnacentral:rRNA from 1 species